rnacentral:rRNA from 1 species
AGCGAACGAUGGCGGCAGGCUUAACACAUGCAAGUCGAACGGGCACUUCGGUGCUAGUGGCAGACGGGUGAGUAACACGUGGGAACGUACCUUUCGGUUCGGAAUAAUCCAGGGAAACUUGGACUAAUACCGGAUACGCCCUUCGGGGGAAAGAUUCAUCGCCGAUAGAUCGGCCCGCGUCUGAUUAGCUAGUUGGUGAGGUAAUGGCUCACCAAGGCGACGAUCAGUAGCUGGUCUGAGAGGAUGAUCAGCCACAUUGGGACUGAGACACGGCCCAAACUCCUACGGGAGGCAGCAGUGGGGAAUAUUGGACAAUGGGCGCAAGCCUGAUCCAGCCAUGCCGCGUGAGUGAUGAAGGCCUUAGGGUUGUAAAGCUCUUUUGUCCGGGAAGAUAAUGACUGUACCGGAAGAAUAAGCCCCGGCUAACUUCGUG